GACGAGGGGUCCUAGCGUUGUUCGGAAUCACUGGGCGUAAAGCGUAUGUAGGCGGGCUUCUAAGUCAGGUGUGAAAUCCCAUGGCUCAACCAUGGAAUUGCAUUUGAAACUGGAAGUCUUGAAUGUGGGAGAGAUUGGUAGAAUACCUGGUGUAGUGGUGAAAUACGUAGAUAUCAGGUGGAACACCGAUGGCGAAGGCAGGUCUCUGGGCUGACACUGACGCUCAUGCACGAAAGCGUGGGGAGCAAACAGG
rnacentral:rRNA from 1 species